UCCUCUGUACUGAACUCCUGAGGCAGC
rnacentral:piRNA from 1 species